rnacentral:tRNA from 1 species
ACUAUUUUGGCAGAAUUUAAGUGCAACAGGUUUAGAACUUGUAAAUAUGAUUUAUCAUACAUAGUA